GUUUCUGUUUUGUGGUCGAUUCUGGGAUCCUUUUCUUGGUGUGUCUUGAUGUUUUCUAUUGGCUAAAGACAUGUCUCUGUGAAACUGACAAUCUCAGGUAGGAGCUGCUGGUUUGUGGUUGGCAGUAUGGAUCACAGUCUGCGACUCAUGAGGAGCUGGGCUGGAGACAUGAAGAGGUUGUCAACAGAGGUCUGAAGCUAAUACCUGUCACGGUCUGAUUGGUAUUUCAUUAGGAAUCAUGGGUUCCUUGGUAUUUGAAUUAUGUUGAACCAGGCAAGUACUCCAUCUUUCGAUCAUGUGUUCUAUCUGCUUACACAUUUCUAGCCAGAAUAACAUUUUGUGCUCUUAGCUUAGACUUCUCAGCGUGUGCGCAUAUCUCAGGCCAUCCAUCCAAGAUCAUCUAUCUGAGCUGCUGAAAACUGCCUCGGUACAAAUCUGUUGGAGCUUUGUGUCACUGACUGUAUUUCUGCAAAUUCCUGUUCCGUGUCACAUGGCUUAUGCAAGACUGAAUCCAUAAAGGGGAUGGUCUGUGGAGACUGUGGGUGAUUCCUUCUGCUGUCAUUUAAACAUGAGCAGGAGUAAUGACAGGAUUUAAAUGGACGCAGCUAAUAUUAUGCCAGAGUCCGCUGCUUAUGCUGUAACCAUAAAGCAACCAGGACAACACACCUGGAGUGACCGAGAGCAGGAUGAAGAAAGAAUCGGACGAGAAAAUAUCAACUGGUGCCCAUGAGGAGACAUAUUGUUCUUGGACCUGCUUUUUCUGUUUAGUAAUAAGUAAUUUUAUGUGGUUACAUAAAAGUAAUUUAGUAUUCAAUCCACAAGCUAAAUUUCAUACAUUUUCUUAAAAGGGUAGUUGACCCAAAAAGGAAAAUUCUGUCAUUUACACAAACAGUUUGGUUACAAAAAUUUCUCACAAUAUCUGCCUUCCUGUUUAUCAGAACGAAGAAAUUUAUGCUGGUUUGUAACAACAUGAGAGUGUGUAAAUGAUGACAUAAUUUUCAUUUUUGGGUGAAGUACCCCUUUAACAUUUUUAUACCCAGGGGUAGGGGUGUGCAGCGGAGUCAGUAUUUGUAUCUGUAACAGUCUCAAAAUUAUUUGUAUCUGUAUUUGUAUUCGGAUGAAACCGGAAGUGGGUGGGUCUUAAACCGAAAGUUUGUCAUAUUACAUUAAAAUGGCAUUUUAAAUGAAUUUUUGCUUUUUAUUAUAAUUAUAACUUAAAUAACUGUAAAUAUUUAUUAAAAAUAAUAAUACAAAAUUUUAAUCAAAAAGACAAAUAACUUGAUUCUCGUUAGUAAUACUCAUGGAAAGCAAACAACUCAUUUUUAAAGCCUCAUACAGCUUGUGCUAUGCAUCAUUGUAUUGUAGCAUUAAAAUAACAAACUUGAAAGGACGUUGACAAAACUGUAGGCUAGAUCACCUUUAAAUGUUUAUUGUGCCUGUCAGCACAGUUCCAUGAGACCCAUUCUUUCUAAAUGAGUGCGAUGUUUUCAGAAAAAAAUAAGUAGCCUACAUUAAUCCCUAGUCUAGCGAUUUAAAUAUAGUAAUUAAACAUCUAAAAUGAUCGUUAUUUGUAAGUUUUCUAAAAGAGUGAAAUAUAACCUAAUACUACUCAUAUAUCCAUGUCUGACAUCUUGGUUUCAGUUUAAAAACAUGCAGGAAUUUGAAAAUAAAAUGCAGGACUUGCUUGAUGCUUAAAGAGUUAUUAAGGGAGAUAAAGUUCGGGAACUGAUUUAUGUUAAAAAGUUAUUAAGAUCGACAAACUCGCGCUGACUGACAGAUCCGAAAUGCAACGCAGGGACACGCAAGUGGCGCAGUAUAUGCACAGAAUAGUUCAAAAACAUCUGUUUUGAUAAGAAUUUACGAAAGAAUAAUAAGCAUUAGAACAAACUUGCUGAGCUCAUUUUUAUCUAUGUCCAUAUAGCGUUUGCGCGAAUAUAACGUAUUGUUUAAAAAAAACUUUCUUAUUAAUCUUCAUCUAAAUAAAUAAAUAAUCAGAUAUUUGUUUACAUUUUUAAAUAACAGUAUGCUCUAUUAAAAAUCAGUUUUGACUUAGUUCAAAACCAGCAACAUGAUUUAAAACAAUAAUGUAAUUAGAAAUAUUUAAUUCAAAUGUUUCAGUUGUUAUUUGCUUACUUUAUUUUUAUGUUAAUUGCAAUUCAUGUCAUAGUAUUCUUCAGUUUAAAUUUUGCUUUUAAAAUGUUACAUUUUCAUGUUUU